rnacentral:rRNA from 1 species
AGUGAACGCUGGCGGUAGGCCUAACACAUGCAAGUCGAACGGCAGCACAGUAAGAGCUUGCUCUUACGGGUGGCGAGUGGCGGACGGGUGAGGAAUACAUCGGAAUCUACUUUUUCGUGGGGGAUAACGUAGGGAAACUUACGCUAAUACCGCAUACGACCUACGGGUGAAAGCAGGGGAUCUUCGGACCUUGCGCGAUUGAAUGAGCCGAUGUCGGAUUAGCUAGUUGGCGGGGUAAGGCCCACCAAGGCGACGAUCCGUAGCUGAUCUGAGAGGAUGAUCAGCCACACUGGAACUGAGACACGGUCCAGACUCCUACGGGAGGCAGCAGUGGGGAAUAUUGGACAAUGGGCGCAAGCCUGAUCCAGCCAUACCGCGUGGGUGAAGAAGGCCUUCGGGUUGUAAAGCCCUUUUGUUGGGAAAGAAAAGCAGCAGGUUAAUACCCCGCUGUUCUGACGGUACCCAAAGAAUAAGCACCGGCUAACUUCGUG